GGACUUGUAGCUUAAGAGGUUGAAGCAGCAGUCUCAUAAACUGAAGAUUGUGGGUUCGAAUCCCACCUAGUCCA
rnacentral:tRNA from 1 species